GAAAGAAAGAAAGAAAGAAAGAAAGAAAGAGAAAGAAGCCAAGUCUUUAAGACCUAGUGUCAAAUCCUAGGAAGGUCAAGAGUAAUGACUCCUGAAUUUCAAUCUUGACUUCUUCCCUGACAACAAUAGGAACAAAGUUCUUUCUGUGAACUUGACUAGGGAAUUAAUUCCCAGGGGAUAGAAAAAACUUCUAGGAGGUAGAACAGGCUUGGGCGAUUUUUUUGUGAAAAAAGAGUAAAUUUAAAACAAGUUUCUUGAUGCACUCCACCACCACCUCAGAAUUUUUUCCCACAAAGGGAAAAUUUAAUACCCUUAUCUUUUGUAAAAAAAAAUUAAUGCAUUCUCAUUGUAAAAACGUAAACGUGACAAAAUGCAUAAAGAGUACAAAUUCUCUUUGACGACCCACUUCCUACUGUGCCCUCCAGAGUCUGAUGCUUAACCAACUGAGCCCCCCAGGCACCUAAGUGGUAAAUUCGUUUAAAUGAUUAUCAAUGUCCUAACACUCUGCUCUAUUUUUUAAUCCCUAUUUAAAACUUUGAUAGUGUCGCAUUUGCUUUGUUGUACUUUUUCCUGAGAAAACCUAGAAAUGUUCAUUUGUCUCUGUAUUUAAUUGGCAAAAACUUAAUGGUCUAUGAUGUCUCAAGCCCUGGGUAAGACCAUGAAUUAAAAUGAAUAGAGAAGUCUGUCACCACAUUGACAGUCCGGAAGAAACAGAUCAGUACACUCAGAAGUGGUAAGGGAAAGAAAUGCAUGAAGACGCUAUGAAAGCAUAACGGCUGGGUACCUAAAGAAAUAGGAGGGGGAGCCUGGCUGGCUCACUUGGUUAAGCAUCCGACUCUUGAUUUUGGCUUAGGUCAUGAUCUCUGGGUUGUGGGAUCAAGCCCUGAGUUGGGCUCCCUGCUCAACAGGAAGCCUGCUUCUUCCUCUCCCUCUCCCCCGCUUCUAUUUCCUCUCUGUGUCUCUCUCUGUCAAAUACAUAAAUAAAAUCUUAACAAAAAAAACAAAAACCAAGAAACCGGAGAGAGCAGAUAGGCUUCUGAGCAUAUGUAAAGAGUGGGGGAGCAUCCAAAAAAUAAAUAAGAGUUCAUCAAUAGUCACAAGGAGGAAGGGCGUUCCACACAGAAGGAAUAACGAAUCUGUGAAGCAUUGGGGUACCUGUGGAGAACUGCGGGCAGCUCUCUGUGGCUGUAGUGUGGGUGAUAUGGAGAUGGAAGGCUGGAGAAUUAGGUAGAAUGCAGUGGGGGUGGAGGGUGGAGAAGGACCUUGUGCUGAGGAGUUUGGAUUUUAUCCUGAAGGCAACUAGAAGCCACCAAAGGGUGAUGAGCAGCUGUGUGACAUAAAAUUUGUAUACCUGAUGGAUUAUUUUUUGGCAAUGAUGGAAGAUGGCCUAGAUGAGACUAGAGGCAGAGACAAUUUAGGGCCAGUGGCAGAAAUCCAAGUGACAAGUCUAGAAGACCUGUGCAAGUGAAUACGGAUCCAUGUUAAGUGAAUGAAAGAGGAUGGAAUUAGCUCUUUAGCACAACGGAGGCCACUGUGGUUGAAUAUAUGCUUGACACUUCAUGCUUACUAAGUUUUCAGUACUUAUUAUUAAUAUUUUAAUCUAUUGUUUUCCAGAGUAUUAAAAAAAAAUCUAUUCUUAAAUUUGAUCUGCACACAGGAGCACCUGGCUGGCUUCAUUGACCAGAAGCUGUGUCGGAAGCAUCCUGAUGCAGCCUUCCGUGGGGUCAAUGCAGCAGAGAAGCCUUCGGCCAGCAUCCACCAUCAAUUCUCCAGCUCUGUGAGGGCAACCUGUAUCAGCGAGCAAGGAGAGCUGGUUUGGGGGAACUCAGAAGCCUAGGCAUUGUGAAGGCGGCUCCUACCGGAAGACGGAGCUUCUUCAAACUGUAAAAAGUCUACAUUCUCUUUUCUAUGUUCUAAUGAGGAUUCUCAGGUAAGUGGUAAAGGCUAAGGCUUUUCCACCUUAAGAUCAUGCAGGGCUCUUUAUCUUGGGAGCUUACAAACCUUCCCUUGGAUUGUUUUUCUUUUCUUCCUGCUGUGGUUCAUCAGCAUUUUCAGGAAGCCACUGAAUUCCCAGGAGGGACCACAUUUCUUCAUGUUUCUUUGGAUGAUUGACCUAGACUGCCCAGCCUGGGCCACUCCUGCUGUUCUAUUCCUCUCUGUCUCUUGUCUUGGGCCCAUGUGACCAUGUGACACACCAGACACCUGGCAUUUCCCCAGGGCUGAAGCGCCAACUGGUGUAAAUGUGUUUGACUUCAUGGCAGCAGACUCCUGGUUUCCUGCUGCCAAGGCUGCAUUUAACCUAAAGUUACCCUUAGGCAGGGCAGCGGGUUACCAGGGUAUGAGUCAGCCGGUGUAGCAUCUGACUUCUUUUUUACUCUUAAAGGUACCUGGAACAGGGACAGUCAGCGUGGUAGACCAUAGAGAUAAGUUCCAGGAAACUUUGAAUCGCAGCCAAAAAUCACCCAGACACAAUGCAAUCAGAUUCACUUCACUUUUAUUAUGAACAAACACAAUUUCAGAUCAGUACAACUAAGCUUCAGAGUUGAUAUUAAUAGAAAUUAUUCCAAAAUUAUCCUUAGGUCACAAAUAACUACUAUCCCACAUAAAAGGGGAAAAAAAUCCCACCCAAUCAAGGAAAAGGUAUCCUGUGUAUCGUUUCCAUGGCAAUAAGUUUAUGCAUUCUCAAAUUUUGUCUGUCUAGUUAUCCACCACUAAUCCAAUGGAUUUAUCCAAUCUCUCAGAGAGAAUCAUAUCGAUUAAUGAUAGCAUCCGGGACACACGGUUCAUGGUGGACACAAGUUCACGGUGGAUACUGCUACUAUAAAAAUACUCAGGACUUAAAAGAAUUCCUCUGCUGAAGGAUCCCAAAAUGCUUUAUAAAAAGCAUUAGUCACGCCUCAAAACUGCCCUGUGAGGUAGGUCAGUAUUAUUAUCCCAUUUUAACAGAAGGAAAACUGAGGCACAUUAUAGUUAAGUGACUUGCCCAGGGUCACACAGCAAGUCAGUGGCACAGUGGUAGGAGAGGCGCUGGCCUUAACCACCCGCGUCAUGUGGACACCUUGCUUUCUUUGACCUUCCACGCUGACCCAUUUGAGCUAUACUCACAGAGAAUACACUCAGGAUACUAGCAAACCAAGGAGAAAAAGUUUCCAUUUUAAAUGCUACAACCAUCUUUUAAUCUAAAAAAUAUCGUAAAUCAAAUACAUUCAGAUUACUUCCACCCUCCAUCAAAUUUGGGCACUUAAUAAAAACAGCCCUAAGAAAAAGUUUCCAAAAUGAAGCCCAGAAGGGAAUCCUGUGAACAGCUACACUGAUCAUUCUCCAGCCAGGCCCCCUCUUCUACCAGCCACUUCUGCAGGGUCUCAGGUGCAAAGGAACUCCACGGAGGGAGGGAGGAGGGAGUGAGAGCAGGCUCAUAUGCAACACUGAUUAGAAAAGAUGUAAGGCACCCAAAUAAGUUGUCGGCACACCCACAAAGCAAGGACUGUUAGAAUUUCAGACUUGAGUUUCUGGAUCAUUAAUGUGUCAACUGAACUCAGCUUUAAAAUCUUGAAGACAAGUUUUCCUUACUUAGCAGACACCCCUCUACCUCCACAUUCUCCUAUACGGAGGGGCCCUCGGCCUGAGGACCCUGUCCAACCUUGUGUAGGGUCAUGGUACGGACCAGAUCCCUGGGACAGGAUUAGAACAGAAAGAUAGACUUGGUUUUGGUCCAAAAUUAUAAAGCAGGCAUCUGAUAACCUGUUGAACUGAAACUACCCAACAGGCAUUUCCAAGGGCUAAGUCCACAAGCCAGCAGAUCUGAACUACAGUGAUGUUCCAUUAGACUCUUUUCUACUGAGAGGAACAGCUCUAAAGGUGUGGAUGCCUUUAGUCCACUUGUAGCCUCUGGCUAUUCAAUACAUACAGGAGGAAAGGCCCUCUUCCCUUCCACUACUGGGGCUCCACAGUACAGAGAGCAUUUGGUAUUAUACAUUUCCAAUCUUUCAGAGAGUAAAGCCAGGCUUUUGCAUUGAUGACUGAGAUACAGGGACAGGGGUAGUCCAAGGUUCUCAAAACACUGAUGCUUUUCUUCAGACCUCUUCUACACUACCCUGGCUGUGGCCCUAGGCUGUUGGUGGGGAAUGCUGGUUAGCUUGCCAAACAGAAAUGCUGUUCAGCAAAGUUCAUGGCAUUUCAGAUCCCAAGUCUCAGGCUUUGCAAUACACCCUGACUCCAGGGAACAGGGCCUCCUUUUGCAUGAGGCACUUUGGAACUUUCCUUUGCUUCUUGUGCUUCGCAGUGAAGACUAGGCUCCCUCCUACUUCUACAAGCAUUGCACUGUCCGCUGGGAGCACAGACUCGGGCUGGGCAGGCGUACCGAGCGGGACAGAGGAGGCUAAAAAACAAACCCUUUUCUUGCUCCAUGGCUGCCUCACUGGCACAAUCCAAGCCUCUGGCCUGGUUGUGCCUCAUGAGAGUGCCUGAGCCAGGGAUGUUUCUAGUAAGGUUUGCCAGCCUCCUCUUGAGUCAUCAGUGUGGCAGGGGAGCUCAAGGGUGUAGGUGGAGGGCCUCUGGAGGCCAAGUGAAAGUGGUAGCUAACUUUAUAAAGAGAAACAGUGGUGCAGUGACCCUGAGCGUUCUGUCUGCAGGAGAGGGAGCUGCCUGGUGAGCAAGAACCAUCACUACCUCCGAGUACACACAGAGGAGGCUUCCUGUCCAGAGAGAGAAGAAGACAUCAGGGAGAAGACAGAACCAGGGAGGGGAGGGAUGCACAGAUAGGGUAGAGCCAGGAAUCAAACCCCACAGUAAUUAAUAAGAGAUUCCUACCUCGCCCCCCAGGCAGUCCUACACUUUACGCUAAAAGUUAACUGAGAAGGACUGGGAGAAAUGGUUCAGCACUGCAGGGAAAAGCCUUCUAGUUUGUACUCAUUCCAAGGAGAAACUAGAAUGAAUGAAUGAACGUAACAUUUCAUUUGUUUGUAUAACCAGCUUCUAAAUCAGGACACCCAAUGACUUACUCAGCAGUAACCUUCUGAAUCCCCUGGCAAUGUGUUCUCGGAGCCCUUCCUUUGUAAAGUCAUCUCUUAGGAACUGCCAACAGACCUAGCCCUGAACCUCUCCAUCUCCUGUCCAGCAGUGAGAGGAGAGUAGACAACCCACCUCAUUUCUCCUCUCCUUCAAGCACCCCUCUCUCAGAGGGAAAUACCCUAAGUGAAUUACUUGAACGUUCCAAGCAGAGUGUGUAUGUAUAUAUAUUUUGAUGUUGAACCCAACUCCACCGCUUAGAAGCCUUCCUUUUUUGGAAGACUGCUACGCUCACCACUAUGCCACAAACACGUUCCUUUUUUGGAUGUCUGGAAAUGCUUCAGACACCUUAUUACCAUGAUGGGAGAUGACCGAUGGCCCGAGGAUGGCAGAGCAGAAAGAUGAAAGAAUUUUGAUGAUUCAGUGAUCUGCUAGAUUCUCCCAAUUCUGGAAACAACCAACCUCAAGAUUUCUCAUCAUAUGGAGUAAGAAAUCUUCCUGUUAUUCAAGGAAAAAAAAAAAAAAAUCCUUCCCCAGGAGAGACCACUUUUACUACAAACUAAAUGCUGCUUCUUUAUCUCCAACCUAAACUACACUGGGACAUUGAGAUUUGCUUUUGUGUUCUAGCAUUGCUGGGCUCUAUGGCCAUUCCCUAUUCAGAGUGAGGAGAGAAAGGAGGCAUGCCGUCUGGUGGGGCUCCAGGUCCUCACUAGGCAAGCAACCGUGUGUAUCCAAUCCCAGCAGGAGCUCCCUGCCUUGUUUCCCACCUCACCCCAUCUUUACCUCUCAAUCAUACCAUGCACGCGAACUCUCUCCCCUGCCGGUUUACCUGCUUUAGAAGCUUUGUGCCAAAUAAAGUUAUUUUCCAUUCCAACUCGCAAAA